AAUGGACACACUGUUUUAUAUUGGAUGGAUGAGGUCUGGUUAAAAUGGACACACUGUUUUAUAUUGGAUGGAUGAGGGCUGGUUAAAAUGGACACACUGUUUUAUAUUGGAUGGAUGAGGGCUGGUUAAAAUGGACACACUGU